rnacentral:rRNA from 1 species
CCUACGGGGGGCAGCAGUGGGGAAUAUUGGACAAUGGGGGAACCCUGAUCCAGCCAUGCCGCGUGUGUGAAGAAGGCCCUCGGGUUGUAAAGCACUUUCAGUGAGGAAGAACGCCUGGUGGUUAAUACCCAUCAGGAAAGACAUCACUCACAGAAGAAGCACCGGCUAACUCCGUGCCAGCAGCCGCGGUAAUACGGAGGGUGCGAGCGUUAAUCGGAAUUACUGGGCGUAAAGCGCGCGUAGGUGGCUUGAUAAGCCGGUUGUGAAAGCCCCGGGCUCAACCUGGGAACGGCAUCCGGAACUGUCAAGCUAGAGUGCAGGAGAGGAAGGUAGAAUUCCCGGUGUAGCGGUGAAAUGCGUAGAGAUCGGGAGGAAUACCAGUGGCGAAGGCGGCCUUCUGGACUGACACUGACACUGAGGUGCGAAAGCGUGGGUAGCAAACAGGAUUAGAUACCCUAGUAGUC